AUUGAACGCUGGCGGCAUGCCUUACACAUGCAAGUCGAACGGCAGCACGGGUGCUUGCACCUGGUGGCGAGUGGCGAACGGGUGAGUAAUAUAUCGGAACGUACCUUAUUGUGGGGGAUAACGCAGCGAAAGCUGUGCUAAUACCGCAUAAUCCCUAAGGGGGAAAGCGGGGGACCGUAAGGCCUCGCGCAAUUAGAGCGGCCGAUACCUGAUUAGCUAGUUGGUGAGGUAAAGGCUCACCAAGGCAAAGAUCAGUAGCUGGUCUGAGAGGACGAUAAGACACACGGUGAAUGUGACACUGCCCAGGCUCCUACAGGAGGGAGCAGUGGGGAAUUUUGGACAAUGGGGGCAACCCUGAUCCAGCAAUGCCGCGUGAGUGAAGAAGGCCUUCGGGUUGUAAAGCUCUUUUGUCAGGGAAGAAACAGCAGCUCUAACACAGUUUGCGAAUGACGGUACCUGAAGAAUAAGCACCGGCUAACUACGUGCCAGCCGCCGCCGUAA
rnacentral:rRNA from 1 species